rnacentral:misc_RNA from 1 species
GAUGAAGAACGCAGCGAAAUGCGAUACGUAAUGUGAAUUGCAGAAUUCAGUGAAUCAUCGAGUCUUUGAACGCACAUUGCGCCCCCUGGUAUUCCGGGGGGCAUGCCUGUCCGAGCGUCAUUGCUGCCCUCAAGCACGGCUUGUGUGUUGGGCCUCCGUCCUCCUCCCGGGGGACGGGCCCGAAAGGCAGCGGCGGCACCGCGUCCGGUCCUCGAGCGUAUGGGGCUUCGUCACCCGCUCUUGUAGGCCCGGCCGGCGCUUGCCGACACAUCAAUCUUUUUUCCAGGUUGACCUCGGAGCAGGUAGGGAUACCCGCUGAACUUAAGCAUAUCAAUAAGCGGAGGA